GAAGUAGGGGAAUAUUCGUCUGUAACAUUUGGCUUCUUGAUACACUCUUUAACUCCAAAGAAGCGAAGAAGGGAGCUAGAAAAUGGACGGGAGGAGCCUUGGAAUUACGUUGAAGCAGAGAGGCAAAGGAAAUAGAAAUUAAACCAAAGGUUCUAUGCAUUAAGAGAUAAUGUUCCGUAUGUAACCAAGAUGGGCAUGGCAUCACUGCUUGGAGAUGCAAUUUUAUAUAUUAAGGAGUUGAAGUUGAUGCUUCAAAAUACAGAAAAACAUAUAGAUAAGACUUAAGAGUCUAAUAGAAUAUUUAAUUUAAAUGUUGUCACCUUUUCAAGGUGACUUAAGAGUCAUCAAUUAUCACUUAUUUUGCUGCCACAUUGACACCUUAGUCUUUAUCCCAAGACCUUAAUUAAUCCCCCACUUACUCCUUAAGCAACUUAUUAAUUCCCCACUAAUUUAAUAAUUAUCCAAUUACCCGCAUAAUUAAGAAUUAUCUCAAUUUACUUAAAAUACUACUUAUUAUUUUUUUAAUNNNNNNNNNNNNNNNNNNNNNNNNNUUUUCCUUGGACUGAUGUCAAUUACUUAUGACAAUUUAAUGUACAAUAAUACAGGGUGCAACAUCGUCGUAAUUUAAUACUACGAAGCGUAACAUCAUCAUAAUAUUGCGGGGCGUAACAACGUCGAUAGCCCCUCGGGGGUGAAUCUCGACCAUAGCCUCGAGCCUUUGAAAACGUGCUGAUGAGGAAUCAUAAUGACGAAAAAUUGGACCCUUCGAUUUUACCGUAUACAGAUAGUCCCCAUUUCUUAGAGUGGAACGAUAAGAAACGACUUCGAUAUCCAUCUCUUCGAUCUUCCCGUGAUGAUGUAACAAUUAUGACAUGAGCCUUUGUGAUAACUGAGGCGUCCCAUCGGUUAAUCUUUCCAAAAACGCAUUGAUUGAGUCUGCCGAUACGUCUUUCAAAGUCAUUGAUGGCGCCAUCGAUUACUUUUUCCAAAGAGUAUUGAUUGCGCCUGUCGGUUACGCUACCCUUUCUCUAUAAAUGGGAGCUUUCUCGAAUCAAACUUCGCUCAAUCAUUAUUCACAAUUUUCAACCCCUUUCUUCUCAUCACCCCCAUCCAAUUUUAUUCCUCAUGUUUAACGCCUGUGGCCAUAGGGGCAUGCGGCAGCGCUUUCUCCGGCUACGCCAUGGCCCUUUCUCAAAGUUAUCUUUCUCCGAGUGGGAUUGCACUAACUUCUUGUUGUUGCUGUUGCUACUGCUGUCAUCGUUGGCUCGAGGUGACGAGAUAGGGGCACUGAUUUCUUCCGACUUAGGAAGAUAUUUGGACUCUACACCGCUGAUCGGGAGGAUGUUCGGACUUUACACCGCUGUUCACCUUCCUGCUCCGACCUGGUGUGGCACUUCAUCCCUUUUGCUAUCCGUGGGGUGAAGUGGCACUACUGGACGAUAACUUGCACGGCACAAUGUCCCAAGAAAUGGACUCAAAGUAGCCAUGCAGGUAAGGCCGACGCUCGCAAGUCUUCUAUCAGGCCGUGAUCUUCUUGGCCUGGUAAAAGCUUUUGCUCUUUGGCGGGCUAUGGCUUUUUCUUCAUCUUUUUCUGCUUCUUCUUCAUCACUUUCCUCUUCUUCAUCUUCUCACUUCCUCUUCUUUAUCUUCUUCCUUGAAGAUGCCAUUCUGGAAGACCGAGAUAAGACCCCCGAGCAGAUGGUGCUCGAAGAUACUACCGCCGAGGAUGCACCCCCGAGAAUAGAUUAGGCUCUUGGCUUUUACUAUAUGUAUAAUUUUUUGUUUCUUUGUUUCUAUGUAAGGACCCCUCGUGGGCUUUUGUAAUCAUAUGUAAGGACCCUUCGUGGGCUUUUGUAAAAUAUGCUUAUGAAUACAAAGAUGUUUCUUCAAUUUGUCUUUGAUUUAUGCUAUAUUUCUUUUUAUUUGCGUUUGUAGAGAAUCUGAAUGCAUGACUCCAUUGAUUGGUGAGAAUAUCGAGUCGCGGCGUAAGUAUUUCUUCUGACCCCUGAUUGAUUAAUAUGAUUCCCCAUAGAACCCUUUGUCGUUCCUUGGACUGAGCCCGGAUGGAUUGAUAAACUCGGGUCGUCGGGAUCCCUGACUUCGAGUUGAAUGAGAGUAGGACUUCGAAUCUUUCAGUACGAGACUUAACCUUUAGGAUUUCGGGAGCAGUCUUCUAGUGGGGGCUCGCUCCAGCUCGGGCUACCUGAAAACUUGUUUAAAACUCAGUGUAGGUAGCUUCAAGGCGUUGCAGAUAGAUCCCGGACGAAGGCUUACCCGGGUUUAGAUGGUACCUCGAGGCAAAGCCCAUAUGAGUAGGUUUUUAGCUCGUAUCUUAUUUUUGAGAGAAGCCCCCGAGAUCGGGUACCAUCUCGAGUCUCGCAAUGAUAUUAAUGGCCCCUUAGAGCAUAUCUUCUUCUUGGUGGAGGUCCUCGAGAUCGGGUACCAUCUCGGGAUGUGUAGUGAUAUCAUUGGCUUCCUAUGAGCAUGUAAUUUUUGCCCUAUAUGAAAUACUCCUAUAAAAUCAAAGAAAAUAGAUUUUUUCCAAUUAUUUGCCAUUUUAUAAGAUUUUUGUAGGAUUUUAGUAAUUGUUUGUAUUUUUGUGCAUGUUUAAUUUUUGUUAAAAGUAAUAAAAAUAUCAAAAUACCAUGGCAUUACAUUUAGAUUUUGUUUUUAUAUUUUUAGGAUUAAUUAGUUAAUUAUUUAUUUUAUUGAAAAUGGAAAUCACAAAAAAUGGUUCAUUUUUACAUUUUCUGUUUUUAUUUCUUAGAUUAGUGAUUUUUCUCUUUUAGUUUAGGAUCAAGUAAUUGUUUAAAAUUUAUAAUUAGAUAAUUGGCUUAAUUUUACAAUUUAGAUUAAUUUAGGAUUUCAAUUUAGGAUUUUUAAUUAAAGGAAAAGAAAAAAAAGAAAAGAAAAAGGAAAUAAGAAAAGAGAUUUGGAAAAGGAAAAAGGGCUGGUUAUUCGAAUUUAGGCCAUCCAGAGACCAUAUCUGGUGGCCCAAUUGCCUAUUUACCCAUUUAAGCCCCAAACCCAAAGUCAAACCCACCCAGUCCAACUCCCCACUUACCAAAACGACCCCGUUUCACCCCUUUCUAAUCCCAAUCGUUGAUCAUCCCAGAUCCAACGGCUGGGAAAUAACCAAUUCUACCCAUAUAACUGUCUGAACCCACCCCCCAAACCCUGAAAUCCCUUCUCAUUUCUCAACCUCAGAGAUAUGAAACCCUAGCCGCCUAGAAAACCCUCGCUAUAUCCGUCAUGAUCCGCCGACCGGAAAUCGCCUCACGACGGCGGACCACCUCCAAACCGCCUCAAAUUAGCACCAUAUAAUCACAUCACCCUCAUCUUUCCAUAUAUCUCAACCACUCCUUUCAAACAAGACUAGAACUUCUCGAAUCUCGGAUCUAAGAUCAAAAACCCUAACUUUUUCACUUCCAAUUUCAGGCAGUUUCUGGGUCAUUUGAACCCAAGACUUCCAUUAAUCGAUUGCUUUUGAUAAGAGCAAUCGAUUGAUGGUCGUCUAAAGUUCAUUUUUACCCCGUAAAAUUUGGUCAGAGUUCGUUAGAUGAUCCAGUUUUAUUUUUGAAAAUAGGUAACUUCUUCUACCUUCUCUUUAGUUUUUCUUUUUCUUUGUUAUUGAUUACUCUUUGUGUUUAAUGGUUUCUGUUAAACCGCAUAAUUUUAGGGUUUUUCUUCUUUUUAAACUGUUAGUUGUUUGUUUACACGUUGUUCUUUAAAUUACUCAAAGCAUGUUAAAACUUCCUUUCAAUAUUGCAUAAGUUUAGCUUAACUAGGGUUUUGGUGAAUUGUUAUUUCUGUCUUUGUUCCCAUUUUUUCUUGUUUAACUGCUGCUCUCCUACAUUCUAUAAUUAAACUUCAGCAUAUUAAUUCAUAAAUUGAGUAGUUUAACUUCUAGGAUUCCUUUGGGGGUUUUCCCUGAUAUUAUUUUUGGUUUAGUUACUGUGUAAAUACAUUUAGCCUUUUAAGUCGAGUCUUGUUUAAGUUUAAUUAGAUAAUCAUUUUUGUCUACUGAUUAGGUUAGUCUUAAGUUUAAAUUGCAUCUUUUUGGUUCUGUUUGCCCUUUUUUAUUUGGAUUCUGAUCCUUUGAUGACUGUUGUCCUUGAUUUGUAAAUCAUUAGAACUUAUAGGGACCUAAUUAAAUUAAAAGAAGCUUAGGAUAAGUUUUCAGAAAAUAUCUAAGAAAAGAAGGUUCUAGAAGUAUACAGCUGUCCAGAAUUAUUUUAAAAGAUGCUGAAAAUGGACAGCUGUCGGUUUUCUCUGUCAAAAAAGGUUGUACUAUCUAAGGAAUUUAGGGUAGAAUAUUCCUAGAUGCUAUUUUCUGGAUAUGCCCUAUAAAAAGAAAGCUAGGCAUUCAUUAAUGGGGGAUCAGAUGGAAAAACUCUAAAAAAUACUCUCUAAAGUUUAGAUGUUGCUUUCCAAAAAGAGUUGAUUCCCUUGGCUCUUGAUUUUAACAAAAAAAAAAUUCAAAAACCUCCUAUUUUUGGUCUCCAUAAGCUGAGAAACAUGGUUUUGAAGUUGAAGAUUUCCUUGUUUUUUCUUUGGGGUAUACUGGUUUUAGCUGUUGUAGCCUGUAGCUGUUUGUUGAAGUCUGGUUCCUGAUUUUGGUUGCUGGUUUUGAGUUCUGUUACUGCUCCAUUGAUCUAAGCUUUCAGCCACCGUAUUCAUCUAUUGGUUGCUGGUUUUAGGUAUUUACCUCAGCUUUUCUACAUGUAAUGCUUUAAUGAUUUGUGAAAUGGUACAAAAUUAGAUUUGUAAAUGGUAUUUGUAGAAAUGGAUAUCUUUCAUGCUAAUAGUAGUUUUACAUUGAUAUAAAUUUGAUUGGUUUUGACUAUGUGAGUUUAAAGUUUGAGGUGAUUUAGCAUGAAUAACUUGGUUAAUACAUGAGUGCCUUGUAGCUUUAUCUUGCAAAUAGCUUUGUUUUGUGUCCUUAGCCAAACAUUCUUGUUGUUAAUGUUGACCAUGAAAUUUUAGUCAUGUUUUCUCUUCUUUCUUCUAUCUGAGUGGAUGGCCUUCUCUUUACUUAAAGUCAUUUGGUUUGUCUGUUGGCCAUGAGCUGCUACCUGUAGAUUUGGCCACUAGUUGGCCAAAUCAACAGGUUCAAAGGCUGAAAGUUGGGAUCCUACUAUGCAGUAUGCUGAAUCUGGUGCUUUCUCACGAGGGAAGCCAAGCUUGUGAUGGACCAAACCAUGUCCAAAGAGGUAGGGGAUUCGUUAGGUUACUAAAGUUGUAAUAGAGUAGUUUGUUAAUAUAGUAGUUCAUGUACUAAUAGGUUCUAAUGUAACAUGCUUUGAUUUCUGGAAAGCCUUCUCUAUUUGGAGUGCUGUAAUGAAUUAGAUUUUUAACUUCAUGCAUUAAGGAUCAGAACAACUAUAUUUUUUUAGAAGUAUAUUCAUCUUUGUCAUUACAUUACCAUAAGCAUAGUGGAAUGGAUCAUGCUAUGAGCCCAAUCUGUAAGGGUAAGAAGGUUGUCCUCGGAUUCAAAUGGGCUGAAGUUGUGAGUAAGCCCAGAUGGAAUACUACCCCCCAAAUGAAUAUGGGCUCAGGCCAUUGGGCCUGAGUCAUAGGCCUGAAAAGUUUGGUUCAGUUGUAAAAGGCUUCUUUUAUAAAUUGUGUUAUAAAUGUAUGUAUUCUAUGUCUUGCAAAUCAUGUUAGUGAAAUUAAUCUUCAAACUGGAGGUGUAGUUUGAUUUCAGAUUCUGAUUUUUCUACUUAAGAGUAAAUUGGUUUUCGACAAACAUGUAUUGUGUAAGUUUAGCUUAAAACAUAAAGGUAGAUAGGCCCAGACGUUAGAUAACCAUAAUUGGGCCCGCCUAAUAUUAUCCCAAUGCCGCAAACUUGAUUAAGACUCCAAUUGGGGCGGAGGGUCUUUGAGUCCCUUCCUGCUGGGCCAAAUGCUGAGCCCAAAUACAACUUUCAAAGCUGAAUUUCCUAAAUUAAUUGAGUAAUAGGCCAUUGCCGGUCCAAAACCCCUUUUCAUCAAUAAUUAAAAGGUUUAGUUUCUCACCCUUAGUAUGUCCUUGAUUCAAAAGUCUCUUAGUGAAUUUCAAAUGAGGAUUAAAAUAUUGAGUAUCCUUAAUUUGGUUUAGUGGACUACAAUCCUUUUAAAAUAAAAUUGAGGUGUGCCAUAUGUCACACCUCCUUUUUCUACUCCGAAAGGGGGGGGGGGGUAUAAGGGAGUUUUUCCAAUUAAAGCGACAAUAACCGAAACGGAAUUAUUUACAUCAAAUUCAGAGUCGCCACUUGGGAUAAUUUAUGGUGUCCCAAGUCACCGGUUUAAAAUCCAGAAUCGAGGAAGUUGACUCUUAUUUAUGGUCUGCGAAUACAGAAAUUCGGGUAAGGAAUUCUGUUAACCCGGGAGAAGGUGUUAGGCAUUCCCGGGUUCCGUGAUUUUAGCACAGUCGCUCAACUAUUAAUAAUUGGCCUAAUUACCUGAUUUAUUAGAUAUUUAAAACCAAAUGUGCAUUUUUAACCUUUUAACCACUUUUAUAUUAUUUAAGGAGUUAUUUCUGGAACAAGUCGCGAUUUUCGUACACUUGUUUGUUUUUGUACAUGUUGUGAAUCGUGUCACGGGAACCGUACGCACAAUCUACAGCACAUGUAUUUUAUUAAUGUUCGAAGUUGGGGUCGGAUCACAUGAAAUAUGCACCGGAAUUAAGAUUUACGUAUCACGAUCAUGUCACGGAAACCGUACCCAUUGUCACGAUAAUUUAUUAAUUAAUCAUGCCUAAAGCAAACUACGAUGUUAAAAGUUUUUUAAAAUAAAACUCAUACAAGAUUACAGGCCAUGCUCCGACAAUCUACAGUUCAUAGCUCCCGUUCGCACACAUUAAGCUAGCUAAGAAUUUUCGUUAAUUAACAGAUCCUUCUCAUAAACUGAUCUACUUCUGAUUAUUAUAACUCUACCAACAUCUCUUUUUCCACUGUUUUGACAAUUUUAGAUGCAAGAAUAUAAAUCUCAUAAUGAAAGUAGAACAUUAAUAUGUUCAAGAAUAGUUUCAUUUACACCAUGGAAUUCCAUCUGAAUCAGCCUACUUUAGACAUUAGUUAACACUAUUGACCCAACAAAUAGAAAUAGCAAUGAGUGGUACCUGUGUAGUUAAAAGCACUGUAAUUCUUUUCGAGAUGGACUACCAAAAAUCAAAAGAUUAUUUCAACCACACCCUAUGGCCCAAACUUGUCUAGGUCGAAUUUAUUAAACAGCCCAAGCAGAUACAAGUAAUAGGAAUGAGAUGAUUUUGAACCCAUGGAAUAACUACUAGUAAAUGAUAUUAUCCUAGGUGCUCAUGCUAAACAACACACAAAAACGAAAUUCUUCAAACAAGAUGAGCUAAAUUAUUGAAUCGGCACUCUAAUACUUCAAACAAGUUAUAUAAAAUUUAUAACAGAGAGUCUAACAUACACUUUCCAGACAAAACAACAAAAAUAAAACUAAGAUUGCUAAAAUAUUGAUUGAAAUGAGAAAGAGAACAAACCUUUUGCUGAAUAUUUUUUCAAAUGUAAAAUUCGAAUUGAUUCGACCGCAACAAGCUACUAACUAAACUUUGAACCAGUGACCUCGACAGAUUGAACCUCACUAAUCAACUGCAGCUAAAGCUCAAAUAAUCGCAGACCGGCCAAAUUUGAACAAUUUCAGGCCGAAAUCUGGUGGGGUUCGAACAUGGUGGGGUUUACCAUUUCCUUUUGGAUCAAACUACUAAGCUCAUUAAUAUGCAAUAAAAUGAUGUCUAUAUUUGUGUUCUUGCAACCAUGUGUAAGGUUGAUGAUAAGCAAAAGCAAAAGUGAAAUGAGAAAUGGGUAUGACAGUAGACGUGAGGAUUUUGGAAUUGGUUGCCGUUUUUUAGCUUCUUUUUUUGUAUAUCUGUUUCUUUCUGUUUUUGAUUUUUGAGAACAAAUAAGAAAAAGAUCACCGAAGAAAGAUCGAUCUCCUUGCCAAUGGCUGCCGUUCUUUUGUCUUCGUCUAGCUCUAGGUCCCUCUUC
rnacentral:lncRNA from 1 species